GAGGGUUGAUAGGUUAAGAGCUAGACAAUUGGACGUUACCCACAGAAGAAGCACCGGCUAACUCCGUGCCAGCAGCCGCGGUAAUACGGAGGGUGCGAGCGUUAAUCGGAAUUACUGGGCGUAAAGGGUGCGUAGGUGGUAUGGUAAGUUAUCUGUGAAAUCCCUGGGCUCAACCUGGGCAGGUCAGAUAAUACUGCUGUACUCGAGUAUGGGAGAGGGUAGUGGAAUUUCCGGUGUAGCGGUGAAAUGCGUAGAGAUCGGAAGGAACACCAGUGGCGAAGGCGGCUACCUGGCCUAAUACUGACACUGAGGCACGAAAGCGUGGGGAGCAAACAGGAUUAGAUACCCUGGUAGUCCACGCUGUAAACGAUGUCAACUAGCUGUUGGCUA
rnacentral:rRNA from 1 species